AAAUUUUUAAGGUCGAACAGACCAUCUUAUAUUAGCUCCUGCACAAAUAUAAGUAUUUAAUUCAACAUCGAGGUCACAAACACCUAUUCUGAUAAGAACUCUUAUAGGUAUAAUGCUGUUAUCCCUAGAGGAGCUUUUUUAUUAUUCCAAGAGGCUCAUUUAAUAUAUAUGAAUUUAAAUAAUAAUUUUAAUUUUUACCCCAAAAAAUAGAUUUAUGUUAAGAUCGUUAAUAAUGUUUAGCAUCUAUCAGCUUCAUAGGGUCUUCUCGUCUUAAAAACGUUCUUAAGUAUUUUCACUUAAACUAAAAUUUCGAAACAUGUCCUAAAAAAGCUAUCUUAGUGGUACCAUUCAUUCUAUUUUCCAAUUAAAAAACUAAUUACUAUGCUACCUUAGCACUAACGCGGCUAUUUAAACUAUUCAUUGAGCAGGCGGUAUAAAUAUUAUUUACAAUGUUUUUGAUAAACAGGCUAAAUAAUUUAUGUAGAGUUAUUUUAUCCUAUUUUUAGUUCUGAUAAUAAGAUUAUUUAAUUAUAUAAUUAAUUACAUACUAACUACUCAUAUAAAUAUAUUACAUAAAAAUAUAUUAUUAUUUUUCACUAAAUUUAAUGUCACAAAUUAUUUAAAUUUAAAUUAACCAGAAUUUUAAUAUAUUCUUAUAAACAUUGAUAUUUUUAUAAAGCACUAAUAGUAUUUUAAUUUAGCUAACGCUUUAAAACUUAUCUUUUAAAGAUUUUUAAUUUUCAUAGAAUUAGAUUUAAUCUAACUUAAAUUUAACAAGGAUCUAUUUUAUGUUAACAUAUCAUCCCAAAAAUUAUAUUCACUAAAUUGUUAUAACAAUUUUAAUAUUAUAAUUUUUAUCCUAAAUAGUUCGUGAGAUAUAUUAUCAGUCUAAGUCAUUUAUACAUGAUGCAAAAGGUAUGAAUACUUAUAUUUUACCUGGUAAUUUUUAAUAUAAAAUAUGAGGCUAGGCCACUAAAAAGCUUAAGCUAAAUAUGUGAGGAAGUAAAGCGAGCCAUACCGCCGGCAAGUCACUUAUACCCCAGUCAGAGACAUACUCAGUUUACAAAACUAAAAUUUUAUUUAAAUUAUAAGGUAAUAAAUCAUUAGAAAUUUUUCUUAUAAAUGUUUUCAAGACACUUUUUAAAAUGAUUC
rnacentral:rRNA from 1 species